GGCAGCGGCCGGAGCCCGGAGGAGCGCGGCGGCGGCGGCGGGCGGGGGCCUGUCCUGCCCCGUGCUUGCCCUGCCCGCGGCCUUCGCGGCGGCCAUGGAGCUGGAGGUGCCUGAGGAGGCGGAAGGCUCGGUGGUGGCAGGGGCUGGUGCCAUCACUCCGGAGGCUGGUGUUGGGGGACUGGACGCGGCAGGAGGUCUGGCACUGAAGAAGGCAGCCAUCACUGAGGGACCAUCGCUGCCGGGACAGCCGAGCCAGGGAAAGAAGAUUGGUCAUCGAAGUGUUGAUGCUUCUGGAGAAACCACCUACAAAAAGACCACUUCAUCCACUCUGAAGGGGGCCAUCCAGCUGGGAAUUGGAUAUACUGUUGGCAAUCUAAGUUCCAAGCCAGAGAGAGAUGUCCUGAUGCAGGACUUCUAUGUGGUGGAGAGCAUUUUUUUCCCAAGUGAAGGAAGCAAUCUCACCCCAGCUCACCACUACGCUGACUUCAGGUUCAAGACCUACGCUCCCGUGGCAUUCCGCUACUUCCGAGAGCUCUUUGGGAUUCGUCCAGAUGAUUAUUUGUACUCUCUGUGUAACGAGCCCCUGAUAGAGCUGUCCAACCCCGGUGCCAGUGGCUCCCUGUUCUAUGUCACCAGCGACGAUGAAUUCAUCAUAAAAACUGUGAUGCACAAGGAGGCUGAAUUCCUGCAGAAGCUCCUUCCUGGCUACUACAUGAACCUGAACCAGAACCCCCGGACGCUACUGCCCAAGUUCUAUGGCCUGUACUGUGUGCAGUCAGGGGGCAAAAACAUCCGCGUGGUGGUGAUGAACAACAUCCUGCCGCGGGUGGUGAAAAUGCACCUGAAGUUUGACCUGAAAGGCUCCACCUACAAACGCAGAGCAUCCAAGAAGGAAAAAGAAAAGUCCAGCCCCACGUACAAGGACCUAGACUUCAUCCAAGACAUGCCCGAGGGCCUCAUGUUGGAUGCAGACACCUUCAGCGCCUUGGUGAAAACCCUGCAACGAGACUGUCUGGUGUUGGAAAGCUUCAAAAUCAUGGACUACAGCCUCCUGCUUGGGGUUCACAACAUAGACCAGCAGGAGCGGGAGCGGCAGUGCGAGGGAGCGCACAGCACCUCAGAUGAGAAGCGGCCGGUGGCACAAAAGGCUCUUUACUCCACAGCCAUGGAGUCCAUCCAGGGGGGCGCUGCCCGGGGGGAGGCCAUUGACACAGAUGACACGAUGGGAGGAAUCCCAGCAGUGAAUGGCAAAGGAGAGCGUCUGCUGCUGCACGUAGGAAUAAUAGACAUCCUGCAGUCCUACCGGUUCAUCAAGAAGCUAGAACAUACCUGGAAGGCCCUUGUCCAUGAUGGGGACACGGUGUCAGUACACAGGCCCAGCUUUUAUGCAGAGAGAUUCUUCAAAUUCAUGACCAACACAGUGUUCCGAAAGAACUCCUCUCUGAAGUCCUCUCCCUCAAAGAAGGGGCGCAGUGCCUUGCUAGCUGUCAAGACAGCUGGGCCCAUGGCUGCCUUUUCUGCCAGCCAGCUCCCUUCCGAGAAGGACGACACACAGUACGACCUCCGUGCAGCCAGGAGCUACCCCACGCUUGAUGAUGAAGGUGCUAAACUUAACCAGGGCAGGGGAGAAGGCAGGCCAGACCUGCUGCCCUGCACUCCUCCGUCCUUUGAAGAAGCUACCACAGCCUCCAUAGCCACCACGCUGUCGUCCACAUCUCUCUCUGUUCCCGAGCGAUCUCCCUCAGAGACCUCUGAGCAGCCCAGGUACAGGAGGCGCACACAGUCCUCGGGGCAGGAUGGCAGGUCACACGAGGAGGUGCGGAUUGAGGAGGAGCUUCAGCAGAUCAGUGUCGAGCUGGAGCCCAAGUGUGAUGUUGAGAUCGUAGCUCCUGCAGAAGAUGACAAAGAAGAGGCAGCUUCUUCAGCCUGUGCCAUUGCAACAUCCACAGCUACAGUAGAGGUGGAGACAGCCAGCCAGGCCUCAGAACCAGCCAGCCAGGCCUCAGAUGAAGAUGAUGUGCCAGUCACAGACAUAUACUUUGCAGAUGCAUUAGGUGAUGCAGUGGAGAAAUAGUGCCAAGACAGGGAGUAAGUGAGGUGGUUGCUGGUUGGCAGCAGAGUGCCGUGGAGCCUGGUGCUGUGUUUCCUCAGUUACCUCUUGCAAUGUCUGAGCAGCUUCUGCAGACUGGAGAAGACUUUUUAGCAACAUGUACCAGCCCCAUGGAGUCCCAGAGCAGAGCUGAGGGGCUGAGAAGUCAGAUCCCAUGCCUGGGCACUAGAACCUUUCCAUUAAAAGAGAUGCCCAGCUCCUCCCUGCUCCACCUUGUUUCUGUCAGUUAUAUGGUGACGAAGAUGAGCUGAGCCCUUGUGAUGAGCUCCUUCAGGCCAACCCCAAAAUGGCAACGUUUGCCUUUCCCCCUGCUAGUGUCUCUGCAGCAGAGCUGCUCAUUCGUUGCCGAGUCACUCUGAGGCUUGUGGGAGCUGUGGAAGGACUCUGCUCCAUUUUGAGAGCUGCUCUGUUUGGUGCAUGCUGUUCAAAUGCCAACAGCUCCCUCUAACACUGCUGCUCUUUCUUUGCCUGUGGAUGGCAGCUGCGUGCAAGCUGCCUGCAGAUAACUGCCUGCUCCACUGGCAAGUGUCUUCUAGCAAGGGUCAGCUCCUCUUCCUCUCUGUCCCUGGGCAUAUGGACACCCCUCACUUGAGGGGCACCUGUCUAUCCAGAGGAAAUCUGUACAAAGUGUGCUCACAGAGCAUGACUGACUGCUCAUCAGCAUUUCAUACUUCAUCUGAGUCCUUGAGUUUUGCAUUAAAUGUGUGUUGUGUGCUGUGGAGUGUUUGUCACUGCUGGGAUGAAGCGAAAAGCUGAUUUGGGUUCCCAUGGUGCUCUCAGCAACUUGAGCUGGAGCUCAAGUCAGGCUGCACCAGAGUGCAGCAGGGCUUGGACCGCAGCCACUCUCUCGCAGGAGUGCUGCAGGGGCAGUGGUCGGUGAAGGGACGCUGUGUGCCGAGGAGGAUUUGUCAAGUCCCAGGGUCUGGUCUGUGGAAGUCUGGUGCUGGAAGGGGAAGACUUUCUCCUCCGGCUCACCCAGUAGGGAAUCAAACUGCAGAGACUGGCAGGGCAUGGGUGCUGCUCUUCCCACGCACGGCUUUCCUGCCCGCUGAUCCCUUCAGGCCUGGAGUUGCCCAACCAUUUGUUCUUUGCUUUCUCUUUCAUCCUCUCUUUCACAUCAUCCUUUUCUCCUCUGUUUCCUUUCUCACUUCACUUGCCCUGGGGCGAACCAGUUCACAGAUGGGAGGUACUGGAUUUACUCUCCCCGCCUGCGCAGACUCCGAACCACCUCGCAUUCCUCGGGGAUUGUAAGUGAACACCCUGGCAUGUAGGGGAGCAGAGCUGCAGCUUUGAAACACUGGGGCCAGCACUCCACUCCCUACUUUGCUGUGGCUUUGGACUGUGUGGCCAUUAGGAACCAGCCCAGCAGAAACUGGGGAAGCUGUUGCACACAGGUGGAUCUCCCUGUAGGAUCCUGAAGGACACCCUGCUCUGCCCUGCUUUUCUGCAGGCUGGUGCCACAGCUGCUGCCAUGAGGUGGGCUGCACUGUCACAGCCCUUGUACCAGACCUGGCCGGAGAGACACCUGAGCCCUUGUAGAUAAUGUUAGGCUCAGCUCUCUUGGCCCCAGGAAACUAGGUGGGUUUCAGAAGAGACUAUUAAGAUGCUAAAAAUCUAGUUGCAAAUCAAACUUUCUAGGCUUGUGGUUGGGUUGUGAGCAGCUCAUAAAGCCCAGUGAGGUAGGAGCUGCUGCUGGGUUAGGCAUGGUUCCUGCUCUCCAGCCCCUCUUGACAGGUGCUGUCUCCUUAAAACAGCUUUCUGGGAGCUCAGAGGGUUUUCCUGCCCUAAAGAUGCAGGGAGGUGGUUGAGCAUUUAGGGACUUGAACUGCUGUGGAUUUUAGCGUUUCUGUUCUCAGGUUUUGGGAGAGCUGAUGUCCUCAGAGAGUAAUGGCAGUGGUGUUAGAGCCUCCAUACAAGCAUUUGUCCAGCAUAGCCCUCCCAGUGCCUGCCUUUUUGGUGGAGAGGGCAUCAGGCAGGGUGCAUGAGGAAGCAGGCCAGGAAUGUGCUCCUGGCCUUGGCUGAUGGCAUGACAAAAGUGCUGCACCUCCUCCAGCUGGACUUGGCUGCCCCAGCACCAAGAGGGUUAACACCAAGCACCGGAUGCUCCUUUAUCUCUCUGCUGGAUUUGCAGCUCCCUUCAUGCAUCUGAGCUCCUAAAAGGCUCUGAAAGAGCUUGGCUGGAGCAUGUGGUUCAUUCGGGAUGGAUGAAAAACAGGAUGUGGGGCAGACUUCAUGCAGUGUUGAGCUUUCCUGUGCCUCUAGCAGAGGCCUGUAAGAACCUCCAGGCAGGAGUUUCUCAUCCUUCCUUCUCUGCUAAUGCAGCUGCAAUUACUGAUGGGGUUCAGCAUGUGGAGCCCAGUGCUUCAAAGCUGCUCUGGCUUCUUGUAGUUCCAUGUACAGCAACACAGACUGUUAAUGCUUAGUUCCUGGGCUGGGAACUCUCCCAGGCUUCUUCCAAGUAUCCAGCUCCAUUCCUCUUCCUUUGCAACCCCUAGGCCUGGGUCAAAGGGGCAGGGGUUUGACCCCUGGAGCCAACACUGCCUCUUUGCAGUGGAUGUGGGAUACCCCUUAGGAACACUAGAAGCAGACACCAGCCCUUGAAUCUGCCUGGGCAUCUCGUGCUAUGGUGCCCAGCUCCCUCAAUGCCUAUCCCUGUUUCCCUCCUUCUUUCCAAGGUAUGGUUGUGCUUUGCUUCCCUUGUUGUUCUUGUUCCCAUCACCCCACUGUCUCCCCAGACUCUCAGUGGUAACUGUUUCCUUUCUGUGGCCACCAUCCACCAUGUUUAACCCACGCUUGGCCUGCAGGGAAAGGGGAACACACAGCAAACCAAAUCUGUUUUAGUGUAAAAGCCCCUGGGCACCAGAGGUGCCAGCGUGUGCUGUACACAGGGCUCAGGAAAUGGGAGGUUGAGAGCUGGGAGCAGGGACAGAGUUCUGUCAGUGCCUGUGCAUGAGUCACUUUCCAUGUUUCUUUGGAGCUAGGGUGAGGCUGUGGCAGGGAGCUGAGGUUCCCCUGGCAUCUGAAAAGCUAAAAAAUCUGUCCCUGCAAGAAGAAAGGUUGUGCCCUCCCCCACUGCAGCUGGAGCAGGGUCCCAUGUCAGCAGGGAGCAGGUAUGUACUGAGGAUGAGGAAGGCUUCUCUGCCCAGACCUGGCACUGAGCUUGGUUCUCUCCAUCCAGGUGAACAGCUGUUCUUACUGUGUUGUUUCCUGCUCUUUUUAUUUUCUCCUUUUAUUUUUUCCUCUUCUCUCCUUUGCUCCCUGCUCUGCUGCUGCUCUCCUUGCAUUCUCCCCGCCGUCUCUGGCCACUCUGGCAGCCGACAGAUGAGAGGAGUUGGGUUUACUCCCCGCUCCACUAUAGCGCCCAGCUCCACUCUGUCUCCGAUGAGGAGAGCGAUACAUAAUCUCUAUGCAGACACAGAAGCCCCAGAGAGCAGCGAUUCCCUCUGCAGGUCGACGUGUUCCCUUUUCGUUAAUGCAGCCGUUCCAGUGGGAUGGGGAAGAGCUUGCUGACACCAGUACUGCUGCACUGCAGGAUCCCAGGCACUGCAUUUCAGAACGGAGCAAAACUAUAACCCUCUAUUUCUACUUACCCCAGAUGUGGGCAGCAAUGAAAGCACCCGCAGCUGCCAAGGCUGGGUACAGAGCCCUGGGCAGCAACAGUGUUUUCCAGAUGUGCACUACCGUAGCUACCUAUCCAUGUGUGAUACUGUGAACCUUUUUU